GCUUAAAUAGCUUAAUACUAAAGCAUUACAUUGAAGCCGUAAAUAUGAGCCACCUCUUUAAGCACC
rnacentral:tRNA from 1 species